rnacentral:rRNA from 1 species
UUAGAUCAGAAGCGAGAAUGUUGACAUGAGUAGCGACAAAGAGGGUGAGAGACCCUCUCGCCGAAAGUCCAAGGGUUCCUGCUUAAAGCUAAUCUGAGCAGGGUGAGCCGGCCCCUAAGGCGAGGCCGAAAGGCGUAGUCGAUGGGAACUAGGUUAAUAUUCCUAGGCCAGUGGGAAGUGACGGAUCUCGAAGGUUGUCUGCCCUUAUCGGAUUGGGUGGGCCGCUUAGAGGUUCCUGGAAAUAGCCCCACAUCAGACCGUACCCUAAACCGACACAGGUGGACUGGUAGAGUAUACCAAGGCGCUUGAGAGAACCACGUUAAAGGAACUCGGCAAAAUGCCUCCGUAAGUUCGCGAGAAGGAGGCCCCAUCAGUAGGCAACUAUUGGUGGGGGGGCACAAACUAGGGGGUGGCGACUGUUUACUUAAAACACAGGGCUGUGCGAAGCCGUAAGGCGACGUAUACAGUCUGACGCCUGCCCGGUGCUGGAAGAUUAAGAGGAGGGGUGCAAGCUCUGAAUUGAAGUCCCAGUAAACGGCGGCCGUAACAAUAACGGUCCUAAGGUAGCGAAAUUCCUUGUCGGGUAAGUUCCGACCUGCACGAAUGGCGUAACGAUCUCCCCGCUGUCUCUAACGUGGACUCAGCGAAAUUGAACUGUGUGUCAAGAUGCACACUUCCCGCGGUUAGACGGAAAGACCCCAUGCACCUUUACUCUAGCUUUGCACUGGCAUCAGGAUUGUGAUGUGCAGGAUAGGUGGUAGGCAUUGAAGCGGGGACGCCAGUCUUCGUGGAGCCUCCCUUGAGAUACCACCCUUCGCACUCUUGAUGUCUAACCGCGGCCCGUUAUCCGGGUCCGGGACCCUGCAUGGUGGGGAGUUUGACUGGGGCGGUCGCCUCCUAAACAGUAACGGAGGCGCGCGAUGGUUGGCUCAGACCGGUCGGAAAUCGGUCGUUGAGUGCAAUGGCAGAAGCCAGCCUGACUGCAAGUCUGACAAGACGAGCAGAGACGAAAGUCGGUCAUAGUGAUCCGGUGGUCCCAAGUGGGAGGGCCAUCGCUCAACGGAUAAAAGGUACGCUGGGGAUAACAGGCUGAUGAUGCCCAAGAGUCCAUAUCGACGGCAUCGUUUGGCACCUCGAUGUCGGCUCAUCUCAUCCUGGGGCUGGAGCAGGUCCCAAGGGUAUGGCUGUUCGCCAUUUAAAGAGGUACGUGAGCUGGGUUUAGAACGUCGUGAGACAGUUCGGUCCCUAUCUGCCGUGGGUGUAGGAGACUUGAGAAGAGUUGCCCCUAGUACGAGAGGACCGGGGUGAACGAACCACUGGUGGACCAGUUAUCGUGCCAACGGUAGUGCUGGGUAGCUAUGUUCGGACAGGAUAAACGCUGAAGGCAUCUAAGCGUGAAGCCCCCUUCAAAACAAGGUCUCCCUUGAGAGCCGUGGAAGACCACCACGUCGAUAGGCCGGAGGUGUAAGUGCAGCAAUGCAUUCAGCUGACCGGUACUAAUUGCUCUAAAAA